ACGCCCCCCAUUGCUGGAUCCCAACGAAGAGACCCCCAUCCUGCACUGCCACAUGGCCCAGCCGCUGGGCACCCAUCCUACACCCCCCAGGACACCUGCAAGGCCACGGGGUGCAGGCUCCUGGCCUGGCACCUGCAGUGGGGGCUCCCCGUGCCCCCCAGUCAAGGCCAAGGCCCGGCCGUGCAGCCGCCCGCCAUCCCCAGCUCCGCUCGCCAUCGUCUCCUCCGGCAGACAAAAGCGCUCGGCGAGCCCACCGCGCUCGGUGUCCCUGCACCCCCCUGCACCCAGCGCCCUUCCCAAAACAGACGGCAGCUGGGGCGGUCUCGAGGCGAGCGUGUUUAUCUCCUGCCUGCAAAGCUGUCGGCAGAACAGCAUGGUUAAACUGUUUUGGUUUUGGUUCGGCAGGGGCCGAACAACAGAGCCGCGCAGCUCUCGCGCGGCGGGAGAUAAGGCUGGAGAUGCAUUUCUCCCCGCGAGUAAUUGGUUGUGGGCAAUAAUUUGUUAGCCCGAGCAGGCCUGUUUCUCUUCCUCACCGCGUGUUUUUUAGCUGAGGAGGAGCAAAGCGCGGGGCUGGAAGCCAUCUGUAGGCAAACCUCAUUUACACACGGCCCCUGGCUCGGGCGCGCGCUGGGCUCCAUCCAGGCUUUUUCCCAACGCUGCAGUGUAUUUUUUGCAAGACAGUUCGGGUACGAUUCCAACUCCUGCCCGCUGUGAGACUCUCACCCAGAUUCCUCUCCGUGUCUAACUCCGUUUUCCCUGGCCUUGAUGGAGAAAUCUUCCCGCUUCGGGCUGCGUGGGAGUGUCCCUGCCCCGCCGCCCGCCCUGCCGCGCUUUGCCCGGACCUUUCCUUGCGUCGCUUCCUUGCUCCUCAGCCCCCAGAUUUAGCGGUUGUUUUCCUGCUGCUGCCGUUGCCUGCACAGUGCCGCGCUUCAGGCUGGCUGCUGGGAAAGCAGAGAUACUGGGUGGUGGUGGCUCCUGAUUCCAAAGCGAAGCAGAGCUGGAUGUCACCUGCUGGUUUGUGGUAACUGCACCCAGAGCGAUUCCCUUCCUAAUCGGAUGCUUUUGUGGUGGUGCUUCAGCGGGGACGGCGCUCGAGGGCUUUGUGGAGCUCCCUGGAAAGGUUUCCAGAUCUGAUGAAGAUCCAUGAAAGAUAAAAACAGCAAUUUUCCCCCUUUCAAGCAAAAAAAAGGAGAGUGAAGUUGGGUCUGGAUUUGCCAUGGGUUGCCAACAGGUGAUCAGAUGGGAGUAAUUUGCCACUUAGGGGUCAUCAAGUCUGUCUGAGCUCCAUGUGUUGCUGAAGAAGAUAAAUAAUGUCAGCAUCCUGCUGCUCCACCCAGCCUGAAGACUGAACAAAGGUCUCGGAAGCAUUGGGGGCUGUGGACAGGCUCUUGCUCUCUCCUCUUACCUUCCUUUGUUGUCUCAGCAAGCCUUUGCUGUGCUGUACUCACCCUGAUGCUUCCCUGCGCUAGGAGUGCUGAUAACCUUAUUGCCUGCUUCUCAAAGCAGCUGUUCGUGUCCUGGAGAGCCUGGCUUUGCAAAAGGGGCUGGGGACCAAGGGCUUGUCCUCGUGGGAACCCCUGGGGCAGAGCCAGGCAUCCCCAGCAUCCCUGCAGCAAGGGCAAGAGCCAGGGUCUGGGGUUGCACUGAGUAAAUCCAUUUUUAAACACCAUCCCCCCAUCGUUACAGCUUAACUUGCCUUAAAACCUGCUCGGUUUCCUCAAAUUCCCUGGCUUGUAUGGAAGGGUGGCAGAGGAUUGUCAGGUCCUCUCAUGCAUUUCCCGUUUUGUCUUCCAGCGGAAUCGAAUCCCUCUCUGCAGACGAGCAAGUGCAAAAAUGCCAGGAGAAGAGCUAGUCUUGCACUGAAAAUUCAGUAGAUGGCUGCCGAAUCUCCGUGCAUCCAAGCCGGAGCACUCGACUUGGAGGCCUCCUGCGAGGAAGGAGAGGGCUGUGCCGCGGGCUGUGCCGAGGAGCUCCCGGCAGGUGAGCCGU